rnacentral:rRNA from 1 species
GACGAACGCUGGCGGCGUGCCUAAUACAUGCAAGUCGAGCGAAGUUUUUCUGGUGCUUGCACCGGAAAAACUUAGCGGCGAACGGGUGAGUAACACGUAAAGAACCUGCCUCAUAGACUGGGACAACUAUUGGAAACGAUAGCUAAUACCGGAUAACAGCAUUAACUGCAUGGUUGAUGUUUAAAAGUUGGUUUUGCUAACACUAUGAGAUGGCUUUGCGGUGCAUUAGCUAGUUGGUGGGGUAAAGGCCUACCAAGGCGACGAUGCAUAGCCGACCUGAGAGGGUGAUCGGCCACGCUGGGACUGAGACACGGCCCAGACUCCUACGGGAGGCAGCAGUAGGGAAUCUUCCGCAAUGGGCGAAAGCCUGACGGAGCAACGCCGCGUGAGUGAAGAAGGAUUUCGGUUCGUAAAGCUCUGUUGUUAGGGAAGAAUGAUUGUGUAGUAACUAUACACAGUAGAGACG